CAACAAUAGGGUUUACGACCUCGAUGUUGGA
rnacentral:piRNA from 1 species